UCGAGAAUCUUCUGCAAUGUGCGAAAGCAUGACAGAGCAAUGCCGCGUGAAGGAUGAAGGCUCUAGGGUUGUAAACUUCUGUCACCGGGGACGAAAAAAAUGACGGUACCCGGAGAGGAAGCCACGGCUAACUACGUGCCAGCAGCCGCGGUAAUACGUAGGUGGCGAGCGUUGUUCGGAUUUACUGGGCGCAAAGGGUCUGUAGGGGGUUGGAUAAGUCUGAUGUGAAAUCCCGGAGCUCAACUCCGGAACUGCAUUGGAAACUGUCUGACUAGAGCUUCAGAGAGGAGAAUGGAAUUCCAGGUGUAGCGGUGGAAUGCGUAGAUAUCUGGAGGAACACCAAAAGCGAAGGCAGUUCUCUGGCUGAAUGCUGACCCUGAGGGACGAAAGCGUGGGGAGCAAACAGG
rnacentral:rRNA from 1 species